UUUGAAACCCACCCACAUUGAAUUUUCCAUUGCAUUUAAUAUCCAUUUUGAAUUUUAGUCAGUUUAAGCUAUACCUCUCGAGCCACUGAAAAACAGGUUUUCCAAGAACAGAUCUCAGAAUACCCAAAUGUUAUUCUCUUCUUCAUCUACCUCAGAACAACAAUCGAUGCUCUUCUCUCAAAAUCAUUCUUCAUCUCUUCUUGAACCAUGAUUCAACGGGAGCGAAGAUGGUGGGGAUAGCGUGAGAGUUUUUGUUGGUGGUGAAUAUGUGGAACGGUGGAAAGGUUUCUUUCAAAGUCACUAAACAUAUACAACUUAGUUAAGCAAAACAGAUCCAAUGUCUUUGAAGACGAAAUAUUUGCCAAACUCUACUACUCACUCAAUCGACGCAAACAUCAAGGCUGCACUUUAGGAUCACCAAAUUUUGUCAUCCAGACGAAAUCAUCAUAUUGUGAAUGGUAUACUGGGUAUCCUGCAACAUAUGUGAAAUAAAUUUGGUUUUAAUGUCUGCUCAUUGAUGACAAAAUGUUACAUCUAGGCAUAGAAUCCUGAGCUUGAUUGUUUGUUUUGCACAUCACCCAAUUGACAAGUGUAUAUUCGUUUCGACUAUUGAAGGAAUUUGAAUUAUGUUUCAAAACUUAUGUUCUUUCAUAUUGUUAAUGAUUUGCUUCUACCAAACAAUGACAUGUAUUACAGAAGUUAAAUUAUUGAUAUGUCAUGAUCAAUAAUUAAAAGAAUAAAUUGUGUUUUACCUUUUCCAAAGGCUAUGUCAGCUGCUGGAAUUCCCACAUGCUGCAGAAAAGCUGUGGAGUAGCACUAGCACGGAACCCUGGUCCACCUACUGCACUGUCAACAUUCAAGUAAGCAACUGUCCUUGAAGCAAGAAUUUCUCUAUUCUCUUCUACCCAUUCUGUUGAUCCUAUCUGGAAAAUAUAAUGAGUCAAAUUUUGAUGCGGCAUUCAUCUUUUGUGUGUAACAAAUUAUAGAAAAUAAAGAAGAAAAUUACAAUGCCAUAUUCCUCAGCAUCCCAAUUGCAUAAGAUUAUUGUUCUUCUAGGCUUCCAUCCUUUUUUCUGAAGCUUGCCUAGUCUUUGAGCUACCUGAAUUUUCAUGUCACAAGUCACUUUUUUUUUCUUUUCUUUUUCUAGCUGGUUUU
rnacentral:lncRNA from 1 species